CUACGGGGGGCUGCAGUGGGGAAUAUUGCACAAUGGGCGCAAGCCUGAUGCAGCCAUGCCGCGUGUAUGAAGAAGGCCUUCGGGUUGUAAAGUACUUUCAGCGGGGUGGAAGGGAGUAAAGUUAAUACCUUUGCUCAUUGACGUUACCCGCAGAAGAAGCACCGGCUAACUCCGUGCCAGCAGCCGCGGUAAUACGGAGGGUGCAAGCGUUAAUCGGAAUUACUGGGCGUAAAACGCACGCAGGCGGUUUGUUAAGUCAGAUGUGAAAUCCCCGGGCUCAACCUGGGAACUGCAUCUGAUACUGGCAAGCUUGAGUCUCGUAGAGGGGGGUAGAAUUCCAGGUGUAGCGGUGAAAUGCGUAGAGAUCUGGAGGAAUACCGGUGGCGAAGGCGGCCCCCUGGACGAAGACUGACGCUCAGGUGCGAAAGCGUGGGGAGCAAACAGGAUUAGAUACCCUUGUAGUC
rnacentral:rRNA from 1 species